rfam:Setosphaeria turcica Et28A unplaced genomic scaffold SETTTscaffold_21, whole genome shotgun sequence.
ACAUACGACCAUAGGUACUAGAAACCAAUAUCUCUCGUUCGCUCGGUAAUAUUUAAGCUGGUAACCGGCAGAUUAGUAGUCAGGUGGAUGACCACUGGCGAAUCCCUGCUGUUGUAUGUU